UACGGAGGGUGCGAGCGUUGUCCGGAAUCACUGGGCGUAAAGGGUGCGCAGGCGGCCGAGUGUGUGAGGCGUGAAAGCCCGGGGCUUAACCCCGGAAUUGCACCUCAAACUACACGGCUAGAGCAUUGGAGAGGGUAGCAGAAUUCAUGGUGUAGCAGUGAAAUGCGUAGAUAUCAUGAGGAAUACCAGAGGCGAAGGCGGCU
rnacentral:rRNA from 1 species